GGUGGGUAACGGCCCACCAAGCCUUCGAUGGAUAGGGGUUCUGAGAGGAAGGUCCCCCACAUUGGAACUGAGACACGGUCCAAACUCCUACGGGAGGCAGCAUG
rnacentral:rRNA from 1 species